GCUGGGGCUGGAGAAGGCAAAGUGCAGAGGAAGGAGGAGCCACUGCUAGUGGGUACGAGGUUUCUUCUUGGUACAAGGACUUCUACGUUCUGUCCUCCUGCAGCCAUCUAAAAUCAGCCAGAAAGGUUUAGGAUCCCAUUUCCUGUUCUUGCAUCGGCUGUCCAAGCUGCUGUUCCUCUCUCCGCAGUAAGAGGGUGUUUCUCUCCCUGUUCAAGAGGAGCACCAACACUUGAGGACAGUAUCAUCCCUAGACCUUGGCAAGAGAGACCACUGAGUGAGGCAUCCAUGGAACCCAAGGAAGAGGCCUACGAAGAACCUGCAGUCACCUUCUAGACCAUUCUCCCUCACCAAACUGUCCCCUCCAGAGAGCUGAGGACUGGAUCUUCCCAUGCUGACACCUCCAGUGGGAAAGAAAAUUCUAGAUUCAGCUCUGGGUGUCCAAGUCAUUAUGAAGGCAUAUUUGUCAAGGUGGAAGAAAAGGACAUAUUCUAUUUAGCAGUUUAAAGAAGUAAUGCAUGACUCUGAUUUGCGGCUGCAGGAUAAAUCCGAACUAUUUCAGGGAGAUGUCAUGGAGAGCUCAUCUCUCAGCAUCAAAGUUGCCUCUCCUGACUUUUGAAUUUUAAGUGUUCUGUGUGGAAGAAAAAUGGAGACAACAAAUUUCUAUGCAUGGAUUCAAAGAAUCCUCGUAAUAUACAGACUACAUUCUCCCCAGCUUUUUAUCUCUAUAUAUUCUUUUUGUUGAGUUUCAACCACAUAGGGUUGAAAUUCACCUUCCCACAUUACAUUUUUCAUCAAUAGUUGAAGACCUAUGUAUGUAAAUAUCAGGAACUAUCAGAACUCCCUGCAACAGGAAACCUGACCCCCAACUCCCCCGAAAUGCAUCAUGAUAAACAGUCACUUGCCAAAAUAACAAAUCAGCUUCCUGGAACAUGCUUGCUCAAAACCAGGAGAGGAGCUUAGAGACGUCAGCUUGACUUCUGCCUCGUACGCAGGAAGGGUGACCUUCAAAGAUCAAACAUCGUCCCAAAUCUCCCUUCAUCUUGUAGUACUCCUGCUUGUCGUAGCUCCUGUUACCAUCAGAAUAAGGAACAGCGGAGCUUCCCCCUAAGACCCUGGUGUGUUUCUGCAUCAGGAAACCUUCUCUCCUGCAAUGUGUCGUUUAAGAUUGAACAACAUGGUGCCUUUGCCAGAAGUUAACAGGAAACCCAAAAGGAGAUGAGCCAGACUGGUUAGUUCAGAAGAGAAUCGUUGGGGAAGACAAUGGGAGCUGCUGUUUGAAUGUGGCCCUGAGAUUAUUUGUGCUUUUCAAUCCCAUGUUACCAAAACACAUUUCAAGCUGGCCUAUAAAUCACACCUUGUGCAUAAUUUUAAGUGGAUAAAUAUUUGUCGCCCAAGUGAAUGAUGCUUCCAGCUUUCAAAAAA
ensembl:lncRNA novel transcript